CCUACGGGUGGCAGCAGUGGGGAAUAUUGGUCAAUGGACGAGAGUCUGAUCCAGCGAAGUAGCGUGAAGGAUGACUGCCCUCUGGGUUGUAAACUUCUUUUAUAAAGGAAUAAAACGAGGCACGUGUGCCUUUUUGCAUGUACUUUAUGCAUAAGGAUCGGCUAACUCCGUGCCAGCAGCCGCGGUAAUACGGAGGGUCCGAGCGUUAUCCGGAUUUAUUGGGGUUAAAGGGAGAGUAGAUGGGUUGUUAAGUCAGUGGUGAAAGUUUGCGGCUCAACCGUAAAAUUGCAAUUGAUACUGGAAGUCUUGAGUACAGUUGAGGUAGGCGGAAUUCGUGGUGUAGCGGUGAAAUGCUUAGAUAUCACGAAGAACCCCGAUUGCGAAGGCAGCUUACUAAGCUGUGACUGACAUUGAGGCUCGAAAGUGUGGGGAGCAAACAGGAUUAGAUACCCGAGUAGUC
rnacentral:rRNA from 1 species